rnacentral:rRNA from 1 species
GUGCCAGCAGCCGCGGUAAUACAGAGGUCCCAAGCGUUGUUCGGAUUCACUGGGCGUAAAGGGUGCGUAGGUGGCGGGGUAAGUUUGAUGUGAAAGCUCCGAGCUUAACUCGGAAAUGGCAUUGAAUACUAUCUUGCUCGAGGUUUGGAGGGGGGACUGGAAUUCUCGGUGUAGCAGUGAAAUGCGUAGAUAUCGAGAGGAACACCAGUGGCGAAGGCGAGUCCCUGGACAACACCUGACACUAAGGCACGAAAGCUAGGGGAGCAAACAGGAUUAGAAACCCUUGUAGUCC